rnacentral:rRNA from 1 species
CGUGUAGGCGGCUUGGUAAGUCCGGUGUGAAACCUUGGGGCUCAACCCCAAGCCUGCACUGGAUACUGCCUCGCUUGAGUCCGGGAGGGGAGAGCGGAAUUCCUAGUGUAGCGGUGAAAUGCGCAGAUAUUAGGAAGAACACCGGUGGCGAAGGCGGCUCUCUGGAACGGUACUGACGCUGAGACGCGAAAGCGUGGGGAGCGAACAG